rnacentral:rRNA from 1 species
GACAGAGGGUGCGAACGUUGCUCGGAAUGACUGGGCGUAAAGCGCGUGCAGGCGGCUCUGCAAGUCCGGUGUGAAAGCCCAGGGCUCAACCCUGGAAGUGCACUGGAAACUACGGAGCUUGAGUCCUGGAGAGGAGAGCGGAAUUCCCGGUGUAGAGGUGAAAUUCGUAGAUAUCGGGAGGAACACCAGUGGCGAAGGCGGCUCUCUGGACAGGUACUGACGCUGAGACGCGAAAGCGUGGGGAGCAAACAGG